AGAGUUUGAUCCUGGCUCAGGAUGAACGCUAGCGGCAGGCCUAAUACAUGCAAGUCGAACGGGAUUUGGGUAGCAAUAUCCAAUGAGAGUGGCGCACGGGUGAGUAACGCGUAUGCAACCUACCUUUAACAGGGGAAUAGCUCCGAGAAAUCGGGAUUAAUGCCUCAUAGCAUCUAGAAAUUUCAUGGUUUUUAGAUUAAAGCUCCGGCGGUUAAAGAUGGGCAUGCGUGCCAUUAGCUAGUUGGUGAGGUAACAGCUCACCAAGGCGAUGAUGGCUAGGGGUUCUGAGAGGACUAUCCCCCACACUGGUACUGAGACACGGACCAGACUCCUACGGGAGGCAGCAGUAAGGAAUAUUGGGCAAUGGACGCAAGUCUGACCCAGCCAUGCCGCGUGCAGGAUGACAGCCUUAUGGGUUGUAAACUGCUUUUAUUAGGGAAUAACCGCUCGUACGUGUACGAGUCUGAAUGUACCUAAAGAAUAAGCACCGGCUAACUCCGUGCCAGCAGCCGCGGUAAUACGGAGGGUGCAAGCGUUAUCCGGAUUUAUUGGGUUUAAAGGGUGCGUAGGCGGAUAGGUAAGUCAGUGGUGAAAUCCUACAGCUCAACUGUAGAACUGCCAUUGAUACUGUCUAUCUUGAGUGUAAAUGAAGUGGGCGGAAUGUAGCAUGUAGCGGUGAAAUGCAUAGAUAUGCUACAGAACACCAAUUGCGAAGGCAGCUCACUAACAUACAACUGACGCUCAUGCACGAAAGCGUGGGGAUCAAACAGGAUUAGAUACCCUGGUAGUCCACGCUGUAAACGAUGAUUACUCGUUGUUGGCGAUACACAGUCAGCGACCAAGCGAAAGUGAUAAGUAAUCCACCUGGGGAGUACGAUCGCAAGGUUGAAACUCAAAGGAAUUGACGGGGGCCCGCACAAGCGGUGGAGCAUGUGGUUUAAUUCGAUGAUACGCGAGGAACCUUACCUGGGCUCAAAUGUAUGUUGACGUAGUGUGAAAGCAUUAUUUCUUCGGACAAUAUACAAGGUGCUGCAUGGUUGUCGUCAGCUCGUGCCGUGAGGUGUCGGGUUAAGUCCCAUAACGAGCGCAACCCCUAUCAUUAGUUGCCAUCAGGUCAAGCUGGGGACUCUAAUGAAACUGCCUACGCAAGUAGUGAGGAAGGUGGGGAUGACGUCAAAUCAGCACGGCCCUUACGUCCAGGGCUACACACGUGCUACAAUGGCCAGUACAAAGGGCAGCUACCUGGUGACAGGAUGCUAAUCUCAGAAGCUGGUCUCAGUUCGGAUCGAAGUCUGCAACCCGACUUCGUGAAGCUGGAAUCGCUAGUAAUCGUAUAUCAGCAAUGAUACGGUGAAUACGUUCCCGGGCCUUGUACACACCGCCCGUCAAGCCAUGGAAGCUGGGGGUACCUGAAGUCGGUGAUCCGUUCGCGGAAGCUGCCUAGGGUAAACUUAGUAACUGGGGCUAAGUCGGAACAAGGUA
rnacentral:rRNA from 1 species